UACGUAGGGAGCAAGCGUUGUCCGGAAUCAUUGGGCGUAAAGCGCGCGUAGGUGGCCUCAUAAGUCCGCUGUGAAAGUCAAAGGCUCAACCUUUGAAAGCCGGUGGAUACUGUGAGGCUAGAGUACGGAAGAGGCGAGUGGAAUUCCUGGUGUAGCGGUGGAAUGCGCAGAUAUCAGGAGGAACACCCGUGGCGAAGGCGGCUCUCUGGGACGGUACUGACACUGAGACGCGAAAGCGUGGGGAGCGAACAGG
rnacentral:rRNA from 1 species